rnacentral:lncRNA from 1 species
UUUUAGGCAAAUAUUUUUUUUUUCCUAUUUCAAUUAAAAUUUGGAAUUUGGUUUAGGAAGUAAGUUUGUUUUCCUAUUUCAGCUAGGGUUUGGAGUUUGGUUUGUUUUCCCUAAGUAUAAAAGCCAUCUUAUAGCUAAUUGUAAGACAUUUUUUACGUUGAAUAUUAGACUUAGAGAAUUCUCUCUAUUUUCCUAUCAACUUUGUAUUCCGCUGGAAUCAAC